GUGAAUAUGUGCUUGAUCUUGUUCAGCUCUUCUGGAUCUGAUGUCAUAAACCAGAAAAAUGACAGUAGCCACGCCCACCAGAGCAGAGAGGACCAAUCGGAUCACAGCUUCAGUAGGACCACAACAGUGGACAGAGUCUGAGGAAUAAAAACAUCAAACUGAGAUCAGCUCUUCUGGAUCUGAUGUCAUAAACCAGAAGAAUGACAGUAGCCACGCCCACUAGAGCAGAGAGGACCAAUCGGAUCACAGCUUCAGUAGAACCACAACAGUGGACCGAGUCUGAGGAAUAAAAACAUCAAACUGAGAUCAGAUCCAGAAGAUCCCGAAUCCAGCAACAAUCAUCAGAGAUCCAGCCGAGAUCAACACUAUCAGAGACACUGACACUGGAGGACCUGAAGGAGAGGAAAACAGUGAGUGAACGCAUCAGUGUGAUCUAGAACAGAAGACAGA